rnacentral:rRNA from 1 species
CGGAUCAGCACGCCGCGGUGAAUACGUUCCCGGGCCUUGUACACACCGCCCGUCACACCAUGGAAGUCUGCAAUGCCCGAAGCCGGUGGCCUAACCACUUAUGUGGAAGGAGCCGUCUAAGGCAGGGCAGAUGACUGGGGUGAAGUCGUAACAAGGUACC